UUGCCCUGUUUUUUCCCAUAAUGUGUUGCUUUUAGAAUCCAGACUGAUGAGCAUAUCUGGCUGCUGGAUGAGAAAGAGACUCAGAGCAGCGACCUUUUCUCAUUAAGGGCCUGGAUCAUGCCUGUUUUACCCGAUAUUCCUUCCUGUCCCUGCACAUAUGCUGGUUUGUUUUAACACAGACUACAUGGGAUACACACAGGAGCAUGUGGCUGCCAAUGAAUAUGGGGCUUCUGGCCUGUCAGAUAAAACAGGUAAAUAACAAAUUCUGUAAAGUGUGUUCUUUUUUUUUUUUAAAUAGCAAAGCUGAAGUUGCUUGCUAAAUGUGAGUGAAAUUAAGAACUUAGGUGGAGUGUGCUGAAAUAAGAUUCAUUUGGUUUUACAAAACACAUGAGAUCAUCUGCAGUCAUCUAGGGAUCGUAGAGCUCAACAGUUGGAAACUACUUGGUUGGGUGUGUCCCUAAGUUUUGCAUGUGAAAAGUGAAAAAGAGUGGAAUGUAGACUGCAGUACAAGCUGUAGUCAGGGAUUUCGGAUUCUAACCAUGGUUCUGCUGGUAACCGGUUCCCUCACCUAAAUGAGGGAACUGACUUAAUUUCUCAAGGUAAGUGUUUUUUGGUGAUAAAAAUCAAGGGUUUUGCCAUAUAUCAACAUGAAUCCGCCAAUUGUAAAGUUAAAAAAUAAAAUUAAUUAAAAAAAACA
rnacentral:lncRNA from 1 species